rnacentral:sRNA from 1 species
UCCAUGUCAAUCGGCGGCUGCCUUAAU